rnacentral:rRNA from 1 species
GACGAACGCUGGCGGCGUGCCUAAUACAUGCAAGUAGAACGCUGAAGGAGGAGCUUGCUUCUCUGGAUGAGUUGCGAACGGGUGAGUAACGCGUAGGUAACCUGCCUGGUAGCGGGGGAUAACUAGUGGAAACGAUAGCUAAUACCGCAUAAUAGUAGAUGUUGCAUGACAUUUGCUUAAAAGGUGCCAUUGCAUCACUACCAGAUGGACCUGCGUUGUUUUAGCUAGUAGGUGGGGUAACGGCUCACCAAGGCGACGAUACAUAGCCGAGCUGUGAGGGGGAGAGGACACACUGGGACGGAGAGACGGGCCAGACUCUUACGGGAGGCAGCAGUAUGGAAUCUUCGGCAAUGGACGGAAGACUGACCGAGCAACGCCGCGUGAGUGAAGAAGGGGUUCGGAUCGUAAAGCUCGGUUGUAAGAGAAGAACGAGGGUGAGAGUUGAAAGUUCACACUGUGACGGUAGCUUACCAGAAAGGGACGGCUAACUACGUG